AUUGAACGCUGGCGGCGUGCUUAACACAUGCAAGUCGUGCGGUAACAGGCGUAGCAAUACGUGCUGACGAGCGGCGAACGGGUGCGUAAUACAUGGGAAUCUGCCUUUUAGUGGGGAAUAACCCGGCGAAAGCCGGGCUAAUGCCGCAUAAGAUCUUCGGAUGAAAGCGGGGGAUCGUAAGACCUCGCGCUGAUAGAUGAGCCCAUGCCGGAUUAGCUAGNGGUGAGGUAACGGCUCACCAAGGCGACGAUCCGUAGCUGGUCUGAGAGGACGGCCAGCCACACUGGGACUGAGACACGGCCCAGACUCCUACGGGAGGCAGCAGUGGGGAAUA
rnacentral:rRNA from 1 species